CCCUGCACUUUGGGAUAAGCCUGGGAAACUGGGUCUAAUACCGGAUAGGACCACAUGCUUCAUGGUGUGUGGUGGAAAGCUUUUGCGGUGUGGGAUGGGCCCGCGGCCUAUCAGCUUGUUGGUGGGGUAAUGGCCUACCAAGGCGACGACGGGUAGCCGGCCUGAGAGGGUGUCCGGCCACACUGGGACUGAGAUACGGCCCAGACUCCUACGGGAGGCAGCAGUGGGGAAUAUUGCACAAUGGGCGCAAGCCUGAUGCAGCGACGCCGCGUGAGGGAUGACGGCCUUCGGGUUGUAAACCUCUUUCAGUAGGGACGAAGCGCAAGUGACGGUACCUAUAGAAGAAGCACCGGCCAACUACGUGCCAGCAGCCGCGGUAAUACGUAGGGUGCGAGCGUUGUCCGGAAUUACUGGGCGUAAAGAGCUCGUAGGUGGUUUGUCGCGUUGUUCGUGAAAACUCACAGCUUAACUGUGGGCGUGCGGGCGAUACGGGCAGACUGGAGUACUGCAGGGGAGACUGGAAUUCCUGGUGUAGCGGUGGAAUGCGCAGAUAUCAGGAGGAACACCGGUGGCGAAGGCGGGUCUCUGGGCAGUAACUGACGCUGAGGAGCGAAAGCGUGGGGAGCGAACAGGAUUAGAUACCCUGGUAGUCCACGCCGUAAACGGUGGGUACUAGGUGUGGGUUUCCUUCCUUGGGAUCCGUGCCGUAGCUAACGCAUUAAGUACCCCGCCUGGGGAGUACGGCCGCAAGGCUAAAACUCAAAGGAAUUGACGGGGGCCCGCACAAGCGGCGGAGCAUGUGGAUU
rnacentral:rRNA from 1 species